GAUGAACGCUGGCGGCGUGCCUAAUACAUGCAAGUCGAGCGAAUGGAUUAAGAGCUUGCUCUUAUGAAGUUAGCGGCGGACGGGUGAGUAACACGUGGGUAACCUGCCCAUAAGACUGGGAUAACUCCGGGAAACCGGGGCUAAUACCGGAUAAUAUUUUGAACUGCAUGGUUCAAAAUUGAAAGGCGGCUUCGGCUGUCACUUAUGGAUGGACCCGCGUCGCAUUAGCUAGUUGGUGAGGUAACGGCUCACCAAGGCAACGAUGCGUAGCCGUGCAGGGUGGGUGAUCGGCCACACUGGGCCGUAGAAACGGCCCAGACUCCCACGGGGGGCAGAAGUGGGGAAUUUGCCGAAAUGGACGAAAGUCGGACGGAGCAACGCCGCGUGGGUGAUGAGGGCUUUCGGGUCGAAAAACUCUGUUGUUAGGAAAGAAAAAGUGCUAGUUAAAUAAGCUGGCACCUUGACGGUACCUAAACAGAAAGCCACGGCUAACUACGUGCCAGCCGACGCAGUAA
rnacentral:rRNA from 1 species